AAUUGAGGAACAUUUGAAAAGAUG
rnacentral:sRNA from 1 species